GUGCAUCGAACUGUUGACGCUCCAUCCCCUUCAAUCUUUCCCCAAGUGAAUCUUUUACUUGUGGGCUUGUGAGGUAUCCUGUGUUGCUUACCAUUGGAYUGGAAUUUGUCGGCUUUGUUACUCGCAUCUGCCAUGUGCCCAUAUGGGUGCKAGGUGGACGUGUGGCGAGCUCUGUGUUCCCAGCAUGCCAAGUGCUUUGGCAUUUGCUUGUUGUGGCCCAUGGGGUCUUUGCUUGUUCUCUUGGAUGCGGAAUGUUGUGUGGGCGUGAGGUCUCGRCCUUGACUCGUCCAAGCACAAUCUUUUAACUCGAAUGACUGCUGUGCUUGUCUUGUUCUUCCCGACYGAGGCCUYAUAAWGGGGCUYAUCGRACGAGGGUUGAAAAAGCGGGUGUUARCGUCAAUGAGUUUUAAAUCGAAUGACGGCCGCAUCUGCAUUGAUCUUCCUGAUYGAGGCCUCGUAGUGGGGCUUACCGGACAAGGGUUGAACAUGYRGAUGUUGGCGUCAMAGAGGAUAGC
rnacentral:misc_RNA from 1 species